rnacentral:rRNA from 1 species
UACGUAGGUGACAAGCGUUGUCCGGAUUUACUGGGCGUAAAGGGCGCGUAGGCGGCCUGGCAAGUGGAAGGUGAAAUCCCUCGGCUUAACCGAGGAACUGCCCUCCAAACUGCUUGGCUUGAGUCCGGGAGAGGUGAGUGGAAUUCCCAGUGUAGCGGUGAAAUGCGUAGAUAUUGGGAGGAACACCCGUGGCGAAGGCGGCUCUCUGGGACGGUACUGACGCUGAGACGCGAAAGCGUGGGGAGCGAACAGG